CAGUAACAACAGCAACAACAACCAAAAGAUCACUUUUAGUUUCCAGUUUCACUAAAAUACCUUUUCUGCUCUCUAUGUCCAUCCUGUGCCCUUCAAUAUGUAGUUAAUUAUAUCUUUUGCUACUGAAAGAUGCCACGUUGGUACAGAUUCACAGAAUUGAGUUUUAGAUCAUCUAAAUCUAUCAGACUCCUGGAGAUGCCUGGAUUCUGCAAGUUGUUUAAGAGAGAAUUGCUGUGGUCAACCAACCUCUCCCUAAUCCAAAAGGAUGAGAAAGAAAGUUUUCCGUUUUUGUUAUGUUACAGAAUAUUCUAGUGAUGCUGCAUGACUGCGAAACAUACAAGCAAAGCCAGAAGAAAUGCACAAGGAAUCAGAGACAGUCAAGGAAGGAGACCAAACUAUUAAUGGACAGUUUCAAGGCCAAACAAAAUCAUAAGCUCUUCAGGACAAGAAACCAUUCUUUUGUUAGAAUAUAUUUAUGCUGUAAUUAUGUAGUUUAGGUAUUCUAUAUGUUCAGCUUCAGUAUAUCACAUAUCCUUUCUGUAACUGUAUUUCUAUUACAUCAAUAUAUAACAUCUCUUAAAUUGGGUCUCUCAUCCAUGAAUAGAAAUUCAAAAGCUUUCAACUAUACAGCAGAUAGGCUUAGAGAAAAUGAGAGAAGAGGGAGAAAAAUGCAUCCUGCAUACACUAGCUGACAAAUUUCUAAAUUAUACAAUGUUUGAAUUUAUCCCUAUCUAAAGACUGUUCAGUUUACGAUAGUUAUGAAAUUGAUUUGAAAAUAUUUUGUGCUAUCAUUUAAGCUCAUCUAAAGAAACGAACUGUUGAAUGUCUUUGUUGCUCCAGAAUCUACUGGAUUUCUAGGGAUACUUCAUAAAGACAUUGAAAAGUGCGUGUGGUGCAGCUCAACAUUUAAGAAGUUCUAUGCGGACCUGUAGAUAUCCUGUAUGUCAAAGAAGAACUCCAGAGAUCUAAGUGCAUUGUAACCCAAAACAGCAAUGAGUGAGCUAAAAAUGAGUAAAGAGUGACACAUUUAAUUUGAAGCCCUGUUGUGCAGUGCCACUGAACCAACUGCUGCAAACAACAGGUCUGGCACUUGGGUCCUUCAGAUAUCCAAGAUCUGCCUACCUACUCAAUGAGGCCCAAGACAUGUUCAAAUCAGAGAAAAAUGUGACAUUUAAACAUAUGAAUGGCAUAAUAAAACCUGCUAUUGCACCACUAGGAUGCUUGUUUUCUGUUACUAAUAACCAGCUCAACCUGUAUAUUUGUAGAGUUACAUGCCCUCCUAGAUCUUAAUAUAACUUGUCCCAUUCAGAUAGGAAUCAGCCAGUUGCUUUUUUCAUUAUUCUCUCCUGAAACAAAACUUCACUGCAGAGACAUGAACGUUAUAGUCUCAAGGUUAGUAUAAACAUGCGAAGUCAGACUUCAGUCAACUGACCCAAUGGGAAAUCGCUAUUGGGAUAGUUCUCUCUCUGGAAGACGGAUCAGGAAAUACUGUACCCUUGUUCUGCUCUUUAUUCUUCUCUAAGGAUUCUGUUCACUGCUCCUAAAGAAAAUAUAUUGAGCUAUAUGGAUAAAGGGUACUGAAAGCACAUCAACAGUCUUCUCUCUUUAAUAACUUUGUUUUCUUGCUAUACAGUAGAAUAGCAUAAAUGGUUCUCUUUUAAAAAUCUUACUAUCUUAAAGUGCAUCUGUAUGUUUUGGGAAAAGAAUAAACCUUGAGACAACAAGGACUGCUUCUGCACAUUGUGUUGCACAUUUAAUGGGUCCUGAAAUUACGCCUUGAAAUCAGCUGGUUCAGCAAAUGAGCUGAAAAAACUUGAAUGCAGUUAAACAUGGAGAUGUGGGAAAAAGGUAAGGUAAAAGAGGGGAGGAAUAGACAUCUGAGGCAGAAAGAAGGAGGACUGUAGAAAUAAGAGAAGGUAGGGUGGGAAAACAGCCUUAUUAGGAAAAAAAAGGAGGAAGAAAGGCCUAAGAGAAUGUGAAACAUCUAUUUAUGAGUGUAACAAAGAAGUAAAUAAAUACAAAGGGAGAAAAAAUGCACAUGUAGAGACACAAAGUGCAGGGACAGACUAAAAGAUGCAUG
ensembl:lncRNA